UGUUCAUUCUGAAUGUGGUUUUCUACAGA
rnacentral:piRNA from 1 species